GGCCACAUUACAUUGAGUCACCAGUUCCUAUAUGAUCACUAAAAUUAAGCAUCAUCAAGACCAGUCAGUACCUAGAUGAGUGACCACCUGGGAAUCCAAGGUGCUGUAAG